AUGCCCUGCAAACUUCUUCCUGACACAAACACAGUAAACAGUAUGGAAAAGCUGUUGAAACAGAAGUAUCUUCCUUUCUUAGAAUCAAUCCUCAUAAUGUUAAGACCCAAAUUUGUGAAGUGCCAGCGUCCUCCCUUUGCUGAUUUAAACCUGCCCAGCCUGGAUCCUGCAGUGGGAGUGGAGCCCCAGCCCUGGGAUCUCUGGUGGAACCAUUCAGUGAUCAGGACAGAACACAGACAACUCACCAUGAAUUCUGUGCUUGGUUGGGUUUUCUUGCUGCUCUUUUCAAAGGUAAUUUAUUGUGAGGGGCACCUGGUGGAGUCUGGGGGAGACCUGGUGAAGCCUGGCAGUUCCUUGAGACUCUCCUGUGUAGCAUCUGGAUUCACCUUCAGUAGCUAUGCCAUGUGCUGGGUUUGCCAGGCUCCAGGGAAGGGGCUGCAGGUGGAUGCAGGUAUUAGCAGUGGUGGAAGUUACAUAUAUGCCACAGACUCUAUGAAGGGCCGAUUUACCAUCUCCAGCAACCAGUGCAAGAACAUGCUGUAUCUGCAGAUGAGCAGCCUGAGAGCUGAGGACACAGCUGUGUAUACCGCCAGAAAGGACUGG